rnacentral:rRNA from 1 species
AUGGACGAAAGUCUGACCGAGCAACGCCGCGUGAGUGAAGAAGGUGUUUCGGAUCGUAAAACUCUGUUGUCUAGAGAAGAACGAAGGAUGAGAGUAACUGUUGCAUCCCUUGACGGUAUCUAACCAGAAAGCCACGGCUAACUACGUGCCAGCAGCCGCGGUAAUACGUAGAGUGGCAAGCGUUGUGCCGGAUUUAUUGGGCGUAAAGCGAGCGCAGGCGGUUUGCGUUAAGUACUGAUGUGAAAGCCCCCGGCUCAACCGGGGAGGGUCAUUGGAAACUGGGAGACUUGAGUGCAGAAGAGGAGAGUGGAAUUCCAUGUGUAGCGGUGAAAUGCGUAGAUAUAUGGAGGAACACCAGUGGCGAAGGCGGCUCUCUGGUCUGUAACUGACGCUGAGGCUCGAAAGCGUGGGGAGCAAACAGGAUUAGAUACCCUGGUAGUCCACGCCGUAAACGAUGAGUGCUAAGUGUNGGAGGGUNUCCGCCCUUCAGUGCUGCAGCUAACGCAUCAAGCACUCCGCCUGGGGAGUACGACCGCAAGGUNGANACUCAAAGGAAUNGACGGGGGCCCGCACAAGCGGUGGAGCAUGUGGU